rnacentral:rRNA from 1 species
AUUGAACGCUGGCGGCAUGCCUAACACAUGCAAGUCGAACGAGUGGCGGACGGGUGAGUAAUGUCUGGGCAACUGCCUGAUGGAGGGGGAUAACUACGGGAAACGGUAGCUAAAACCGCAUACCAUCAGAUGUGCCCACAUGGGAUUAGCUUGUUGGUGGGGUAACGGCUCACCAAGGCGACGAUCCCUAGCUGGUCUGAGAGGAUGACCGGCAAAAUGGGAACUGAGGCACGGUCCAGACUCCUACGGGAGGCAGCAGUAGGGAAUAUUGCACAAUGGGCGCAAGCCUGAUGCAGCCAUGCCGCGUGUAUGAAGAAGGCCUUCGGGUUGUAAAGUACUUUCAGCGGGGAGGCGUUACCCGCAGAGGAAGCACCGGCUAACUCCGUGCCAGCAGCCGCGGUAAUAC